rnacentral:lncRNA from 1 species
AUUAUAAGAUUAAGAGAAAUAUGAAUAUAAAAUUAGAUUUGAUAUGAUUUCAUGUCCAAAGUCAUAUUCGAAAUGUAGUACGAUCACAAGAUUUAAUUGCAUGGUAACUUACCACUGAAGGAUAUUUUUGAUAUUUUCAUCAAAAUUUUAUAUCUUUUGGAUAGAUAUGAUACGUUGUUAGACGUCAAUCUUGUCUUGUAGGUU